AGUUUUUGCCAUAGUGCUGUCAUGUUUUGAUGAUAAAGGAUCUGAUUCCUCCCUUUCUUUUGCAUCCAACACACUCAUUACGGAAUUUCUCUUAAUAGAUUUCACGUCAGGUAAUUUCCCUACACUUUCUCUUUGCUCAAAUACACUGCUAGAUUGUGAUGCCGAUCUUGAUCUCUGUAGCCUACUUUGACCUGUUCUUGCUCUAGGGCUCUCUAAAGAAGACGAUGGCAGUGGAUUGGCAUCCAUAUUAUUAUCUUCUCUAAAGAAAAUCAGAUUCAAUAUAAAAAGAAGUGGGUUUCUUUAAUCUCGAACCAGAAAUUUAAAGUGUUGAUUAACAAUUUAACAUCUAGAUUUUGUUGGGUUUUUUUUACCUUGUGCAGAUUAAGUUGCCUUUGCAAAUAAACCAUAUGUUGCAAGAGGAAGGGGCUUCUUUUAUCAGAAUGCAUGGUGUCUUUGAAACUGGUGAUCUCAAUCCCCUGUAAAUGGUGAGUUUCAAACUAAAUUACCAGCCUUUUGCAGAAGAAAGAAAAAUACAUCUGUUAUCAAUUAAUCUAGCCGAAUAUAAUUUUUUUGUUAUAAAUCCUUGUCCAUACUUUGUGUAAUCGUUAUCCCCUGAUGCUGCUCCCAUGACAAGCCUAGUGAUGCCAUGUUCAGAGAUGGCAUCUAUGAGAGCUUUCGCAAGAUCAUCUGCUUCAAUAACUAGCAUCUCAGAGUGCACCUGAUAAGAAAUGCACAAAUGCACAUUUGAAACAUGAUAUUUAAAAAAUUCUUCAGUCGACCAACUUUAAUAAUUCUCCAAUUAAUACUUAAAUAGAGAAAUUAAGAAUCUAAAUGUAAAACCCUUUGCAAAAAGGGUGGACAAAAAACUACCUUAAUUAAUUAUACAUACCUUUGCAAUUUCACAAAUAAACAUAUAUUCUUUCAUAGUCUUGUUCAUCUUUUCUCUUUCUUGAUUUCUGUAGGUCUCAAUCUGAUCUGUUGUCAGUUGGCUCACAUGAAACCACCCUCCC
rnacentral:lncRNA from 1 species